GCCCGCGCCGCCGGGCGGGGCGCAGCCGCCGGUCGACCCGGCGGAGCUGGAGCAGUUCCGCCAGUUCCAGCAGUUCCAGGACUACCUGCGGUUC
rnacentral:tRNA from 1 species